GGGACUUGAGAGGGCAGGUGGCUGACCCCUUCCUUCCGUCCUUCCCACAGGGAGGGGGAAGCUUGGCCCAGCUCCCUCGGCCCGGUGUUACCGACUUUUUCCCCAUCAGAUGGAUGUAGCGCGGCCCCUCGCGAGCCUUAAAAGGAGCAGCAGGCGGCCACCUUACGCAGCGACCCGGAGGGAGUCCUGCGGGGACUACGCGGCGGGCGUGAGGCGAGCGUGGCUUCGGGCAUGCGCGGCGGCUGUGUGCCCGCCGGGCCGGCACCGCCCUCUGGCUGUGUCUUCCUCCCGCCGCGGCCUUCGGGCUCCCGGAGCACCGGGGCUGGUCGCCGAGAUCCUUUAGCGUAAUAUCCUUUGGUCACAGAAAUGACAUCUUCAGGGAGACGACUUUGAAGAAAUGCCUGAAAGUGACGGUAGAAAUAUUUUCUUCUGUUACCUGCUGAAAGAUUGAAAUUUAGCAGAAGUAUCUAAUGAAGAGGAGUCUGAACACAGCAGUUGAGAAAGGAAAAAGAUUGGGAGAAGAACCCAGAUGUCAUAAGGCAAAGGGAGGAUGAGUAUGUAAAAAAAAAAAAGAAAUGAAAAACAUUUUUUUCUGGAUUUUAUCUGAUGAGUGCUGGGUCCAACAGAACUUUGACCGAAUUAUUUGUGUGGAAUCAAAAUUUGCACUGAAUCAAAAUGUUACAUCAGAUUUUAGAGCAUGUACUGUGUUUGUGAUUGCCAUCUCUUAACUGUUGGAAUGGAACAAAACAUUGGAGAUUAUUUUAAUGAGAAAAGCUUCUCCAGGAAGUCAGUGAUGACCAAAAAAUUAGGGGCAUAAUUUUUCUUUCUGGGGCAUAAUUGUUUGGGGUCUUGUUGGAGAAAAAGACUUUGAGAACGGGGAGAGGCUGUGUCCAGGACCUGGGUAACUGGGUGGCUUUAAUGACCAUCGUCUUACAGUGUGGGCCCUGGGAAGAACUUACUGGGGAAUCCCAGUAGCUAAUUUUUCACAUUGUCACUCUACAGGACGUCUGUACCAGCACAUCUUCCCCAUUUUGUUGUUAAACAUCCCUCUGGAGAAUUAUCCCUGAGGCACUAAGAACUUUACUGUACUUUCCCCACCGCCCCCCCACCCCAGCCUCUUGGUCUCAAUUCCGAUGUCAGUCAAGGUGCCCAGCACAGGACAACCUCUUUAGCUGGUUGGAGAGCUAUUGCCCACUCCUGGAAACACAAGUAACUCACCUUUGUUCUGGUCCUACAGUUUUAAACCCUUAAGUGAGGGCUUGUGAAUCAUCUAACCUGACGAGGAUAUUUGAGGCCCCAUCUGAUAAGUGCACUUUGUACCAUAAACUCAAGUAAAAGUAAAAAUCAAAUCAAUCGACAAAAUACAAAGAUUUUCUACCACUAAAUCGCUAAGGCAAUUCCAAAGAAUAUGUUUCUGGAACAAAAGGCAAUUCCAAAAGAGGUGCCCUAAAAAUAUUUUGAAAGUGGUAGAAUAAUGGAAUAAAGAUACUCUUUCCAAAUAAAGAUAUUUUUCUUU